UACGUAGGGUGCGAGCGUUAAUCGGAAUUACUGGGCGUAAAGCGUGCGCAGGCGGUUCGUUGUGUCGGCGGUGAAAGCCCCGGGCUUAACCUGGGAAUGGCCGUUGAAACUGGCGAACUGGAGUGUGGCAGAGGGGGGUGGAAUUCCGCGUAUAGCAGUGAAAUGCGUAGAGAUGCGGAGGAACACCGAUGGCGAAGGCAACCCCCUGGGCUAACACUGACGCUCAGGCACGAAAGCGUGGGGAGCAAACAGG
rnacentral:rRNA from 1 species